rnacentral:rRNA from 1 species
UACGAAGGUGGCAAGCGUUGUUCGGAAUUACUGGGCGUAAAGGGCGCGUAGGCGGCCUACUAAGUCGGACGUGAAAUCCCUCGGCUCAACCGAGGAACUGCGUCCGAUACUGGCAGGCUGGAAUCCGGGAGAGGGAUGUGGAAUUCCAGGUGUAGCGGUGAAAUGCGUAGAUAUCUGGAGGAACACCGGUGGCGAAGGCGGCAUCCUGGACCGGUAUUGACGCUGAGGCGCGAAAGCCAGGGGAGCAAAGCGGGG